rnacentral:rRNA from 1 species
AAUUUUGGACAAUGGGGGGAACCCUGAUCCAGCCAUCCCGCGUGUAUGAUGAAGGCCUUCGGGUUGUAAAGUACUUUUGACAGGGAAGAAACGGCACCACCUAAUACGUGGUGUUAAUGACGGUACCUGUAGAAUAAGCACCGGCUAACAACGAGACAGCAGCCGCGGUAAUAAGUAGGGUGACACCGUUAAUGGGAAUUACUGGUCGUAAAGGGUACGCAGGCGGCUAGGAAAGAGGGAUGUGAAAUCCCAGGGCUCAACCUUGGAACUGCAUUCUUAACUGCCUAGCUAGAGUAUGUCAGAGGGGGGUAGAAUUCCACGUGUAGCAGUGAAAUGCGUAGAUAUGUGGAGGAAUACCGAUGGCGAAGGCAGCCCCCUGGGAUAAUACUGACGCUCAGGUACGAAAGCGUGGGGAGCAAAC